UCCCUGGUGGCUCAGAUGGUAAAGAAUCUGCCUGCAGUGCAGGAGACCCAGGUUAGAUUCCUGGGUCGGGAA
rnacentral:tRNA from 1 species